AUGGUAUUUGCACAAGCCUUUCUCCUGCUGCCGCUGCUGCUGCAUAAUGAGAGCUUUUUCCAGAAGUGGAGUGUAGCUGCAGCUCCAACAACCCGAUCUUCUGGGAGUUGCUCUAAAUACCUCAUAGCCUCCAGGAAGUGGAAGCAGACGGAGCCCAGGUGUACAACAGCUGACUGGCACAGACACAAGCUCCUUUUGUUGAAGAACCUAUUUUUGUCUGUCCUACAGUCAUCAUCACUGUAUAAACUACACUGUCUUCAACUUUUAGCAAGAAGCUAAUAAAUGCGUUCAGUGAAAGCCCGAGGUCACUAAGUAAAAAAAAGUAAAAAUUUUCAUCAAAGUAGUUUUCCAUUAAUCAAAUGGGCUGUAAUUUAUGGCCAAAGUCAAAAACUGACAGCCCCAACAAGCCAAAUGAAGGUAAAUGAAGUUUCUGGCAGAGUGCUGCUGAAAUAAUUUACAAUUAUCUUGUAAAUGAGAUUCAAUCUUUACAUUAUUAAAAAUGUGUAUAAAUAAG
rnacentral:lncRNA from 1 species